rnacentral:rRNA from 1 species
UACGUAGGGGGCAAGCGUUGUCCGGAAUUAUUGGGCGUAAAGCGCGCGUAGGUGGCCUCAUAAGUCCGCUGUGAAAGUCAAAGGCUCAACCUUUGAAAGCCGGUGGAUACUGUGGGGCUAGAGUACGGAAGAGGCGAGUGGAAUUCCUGGUGUAGCGGUGGAAUGCGCAGAUAUCAGGAGGAACACCAAUAGCGAAGGCAGCUCGCUGGGACGUUACUGACACUGAGGCGCGAAAGCGUGGGGAGCGAACAGG